rnacentral:rRNA from 1 species
AUUGAACGCUGGCGGCAGGCCUAACACAUGCAAGUCGAGCGAGCGGCGGACGGGUGAGUAAUGUCUGGGAAACUGCCUGUUGGAGGGGGAUAACUACUGGAAACGGUAGCUAAUACCGCAUACCAUCAGAUGUGCCCAGUUGGGAUUAGCUAGUAGGUGGGGUAACGGCUAACCUAUGCGACGAUCCCUAGCGGGUAUGAGAGGAUGACCAGAAACACUGGAAAUGAGACACGGUCCAGAAUAAGACGGGAGGCAGCAGUGGGGAAUAUUGCACAAUGGGCGAAAGCCUGAUGGAGCCAUGCCGCGUGUGUGAAGAAGGCCUUCGGGUUGUAAAGCACUUUCAGCGGGGAGGCGUUACCCGAAGAAGAAGCACCGGCUAACUCCGUGCCAGCAGCCGCGGUAAUAC